rnacentral:rRNA from 1 species
UACGAAGGGGGCUAGCGUUGUUCGGAAUCACUGGGCGUAAAGCGCAUGCAGGCGGAUCGCUAAGUCGGGGGUGAAAGCCCGAGGCUCAACCUCGGAACUGCCUUCGAUACUGGCGAUCUUGAGUCCGGGAGAGGUGAGUGGAACUCCGAGUGUAGAGGUGAAAUUCGUAGAUAUUCGGAAGAACACCAGUGGCGAAGGCGGCUCACUGGCCCGGUACUGACGCUGAGAUGCGAAAGCGUGGGGAGCAAACAGGAUUAGAAACCCCCGUAGUCC